GGAGAGUUGGCCCUGAGAUCCAUUUCAAAGAGACGGAGAAGUUUCAAGAUCUGAAGUCAAUAAGCUGGAGAUCCGGGAGAGCUGAUUUCAGUCCAGUAGUUCCAGUCCAAGUCUGAAAGCUUAUGAAUCAGGAGAUCUGAUGGUGUAAGUUCCAGUUCAAAAGUUGUCAGAAUGGAAACCCAAGAAGAGCCAAUUCUUCAUUUCAAGGUUUCCUGUGGAACCUGGAAGGAUCAGGAUUCCUGAAAAUUUAAACCAGAACUCAGAUAUUCCAGUAAUUGCACAUCAAGUGCCCACUAGUAGCUAAGCAUCUGCUACACAACAGCAUACAAAGUCUGGAAGCCAUUACUUCUCUCCCUAUGAAGAGCUUUUAAUCUUUCCUGAAAUUUUGCAGUGUUGGUUUAGAGAGUCAUACUCGGACUCUCUGGAACUAAUCACAUUCACAAAAUGAUGUCAGAAGCAGGAUCCAAAGUGGAGCUUCUAGUGACCCCCAGGAGUGCUGAAUAAACACGCAAGGUACAUGCAGGACCCGCUUGUGUCCAUUGAUCUCUCAGAGCAGCUGGGGAUCGUGGGUAAAGACCUUCACAAUCUAGAACCUGAAGAUUGGAUCUUCUGAAAACAUCAGAGAAAGACUAUCCUUGCCAUCCACACUACAGUAAAACUUUGGAGCGCUGAACCUUGGAUUUAUAAUCUCACAACUGAGAAGGGUCCCUCCAUACUCCGGGAACUGUACACCCAUUGGAACCCUUAAGACAGGGUCCCACUCCAUUGGCCAGGUGCAGUGGUGUCAUAAUCGCUCAUUGCAGCCUUGGCUUCUCGGGCUCGAUAGAUCCUCCUGCCUCAACCUCCCAAGAAGCUUGGAGCACAGGAGAGAUAAGGUCUCACUCUGUUACCCAUGCUGGUCUCCAACUCCUGGAAUCAAGUGAUCCUCCUGCCUUGACCCCCAAAGGUGCUGGGAUUACAGGGUGAAGAAAAGAACAUUUAGAAACCAGAUGUUGUAUUAACUAUAACCAUUAUCCUUUAUGGGAUCCCAGAGGUUUAAUCUCUAUCCAUAAACAGGUGAGGAAGAUACCAGCUUUCAGCUGAGCUUUACACUUAGAAUGCUUCACUGGGAAGGGGGCGAAGGCUCUGCCAUCCAUCUGUCACUAUGACUCGGGGAGGCUCAUAAUGGAUGGGUAUAGCCCAGCAGUUUCAACCUUAUCAGACCCAAAGCUCUCCUUUUUAUAACAUAUAUUUUAUGAUCUACCCUUUAAUGUCCCUAAGUGAAAUUCACAGAUAAUAUCAACAUAAACAAUUUUAACAAAAAGCAAAAUGAUGCCUGAACUGUACAUAAAGGAGAAAUAAAAGGAAAAGAGUUUGUAAUAAAAUAACAUGCAUUACAAGAUAGAAUGCUUAGGCACAACUCUCCUAGAAAACACACGGAAGUGGUCGGAUGUUUAUACUUGUGGAGAAUCAUGCAUGGGACAGCUGCACGUGCGGACUGAUGCAGAUGUGGAGUGGAAAGAUUCAAACAGCACAAUUAGCAUUGCCACUGAUGAUGUGAUUUUCUAAAACAGUGAAAAAGACUUGGUAAAGUUCUACCUUUUCUUAAUUUGUAUGGUAAUUGCAUCCCUGAAGAAGUCGGUUUAUGUUAAAAUUGUGCAAAAACACUUUGAGUUUAUAAAUAAAUUGGAGUUAUAUUCUGGACUUAGGUGAUUAUAAACAGGAUUAUCUCCUACUUGAAAUGUCUGGAGACCUGGUUCAUACCCAAUAAAUGUCAGAAAUACUCUCCCCAGUCAUUGCAACAGUGCCAAAUGUCUCCCAAAUUAUCUAGGACCAGCACCACUCCACCCACUGGGAAUGCUUGUGUGGGCUGUCUAAGACCACUUUGGAGGGCAGGGAUAUGGGAAUAUUCAUCUCAUGGAACUCUAGGCUCUAAGUCCGCAGUUUUUCUCCAGAAGCCCUGAUUCAACCAUAGGACUUGAGUCUACACUAACUUCGGUAAGCUGUCAAGAGAAAAAUAGGUGGAUUGUUGCCAGAGGUCUUGGUAAGAUUCUGUAUAAUCAGCUUCCAGUUUCACUUAGGUGGGAAUGUUUAUUCCUGGACUGUAUAAGAGCCAACACAUAACCUUCCUCAUGGAGGUAUCCCAAGAUUGGCUCUAUAUCCCUGGGUGUUACCUACAUAGCAUGAAGCACUAUCCAGAACUGAUGUGCACACGUGGAAGAACGGCAGUGGGGAAUGACACAUUAUUAGAUACAUUGGUUACCGUGCAGAAGUGCUUCUUUAUCCUGAUAAUAUCAUACUCAAUAAUAGGUCAUCACUCAAAGGUGCCAUUAGCACCAUGUGUCUGCCUGUAGCGUGUAAAGCCAAUUUUGAACAAGAAAGUAUCAGUCAGUAUUCUGAGCUGUCCUCAUGCCUGGAUUCGGUAUAAGUGGUGGGGUAGUAAAAGCAAAUGUCUUUAGACCCACAUUUGAUGUCCUCAGACCCAGAUUCAAGCCUUCUCUGCUGAUCUGUGACCUUCAGUAAACUACGUAAUGUCUUUGAGCCUCCAUUUCCUUAUCAGUCAGUGUUUAUAAUAGUGCCUGAUGCAUAGGCUUGUUGGGAGGAUGAAUGAGAUAAUAUAGGUAAACCGCUUGGCAUAAUGACUGACUCACAGUAAGUGCUCAGUAAAUAUUAACCACCAUUAUUGUUGGAGUGGUGGUAAUUAUCUGCAAAAAGAUCUUACAGAAGAAAAAGAUGUUCUUUUAAAAAAAGAGGCUGUUAUUUGAUGUAGAUGACCUGGAAGGAAGAUAGAAUUCCUCUUAGGGAUAGAACUGUUUUUUCCUUUAAGGAAAGAACACGUUUUGUACAUAUUCAGUAAUAAAAGGUGAGCCAGCCCUGCCCCCACCCCCACCACCGGCAAAGCUGUGAUGGGAGAAGAUUGCCCUGCAUAAGAAUACAAUAUAAUUUUCUUAUAAGUUCUUUCCAAAGGAAGGGAUAAAGGGUUUGAUAGAAAGUGAUUCCUGGGAGAGUUUGCAGAAGAGUGGAAAAGAUCUUGCUAAGAUGACAGGAGGCACAUGAGCAGCCAGAAAUUCCUUGGAUUCGUGGUAAUAGUGAUGUUUGCCAUUGAAGUGGAAGGUAUUUUCUGUCUUGUGCUUAACUCAUCCCCUUUUCAUUGUCUACAAAAUCUUUAGUGAAAGGCUGUGGCUAGGUCACCCUAGUGUGAAUGAAAGGAGAGAGGGAUUGUCUGGAGUGAAGUGGGGAGAGAAGUAAUACAGAACACCAUGACUACAGGAGGCAAAAUGCUAAGAGCAUGAACAAGACAUUUGGAGGAAGAAGGGGCCCCCACAAUGUUAGUCCCAAGGAGAUUCUUGGACAUUUUGAGGGAGCAAAGGUGGGAAUGAACGUGAGAUGGACACCAAUGGCAAGUGAGAAAAUAUUAAAGAAAACUUUACUAUAAUUUCCUUAAACCUAAGUAUAAAACUUGUGAGACUUUUUUAUAUUUGGGUAACUUUCCAAAUAGUUAAUGAAUUUUUAAAAAAUGAAAUGAGAUGCUUUUAAACAAGAGGGACAUUACCAAUCUUUAUACCUUGUAGUUGUAUAAAUGCUGUUGUGAGUUUGAUAUUCACAGUAUCUAUUCAGUAAAAAAUUGAAACGAUUUAUUGAAACAAAAACUGAAUGCUGAGAGAUCACAUUCUUAUAAAUCUCUUGGUAUGGGAAUGUAUUAGAUGCCAUUUAUAUAUUAUGUGCCUUAUUUGAUACGUUUGAACCUUCUGGCAAUAGAAUAUUUUCCCAACCACUUUGUGUCAGGGAUUAUAAGUCACUGUUGGGUGACAGUGAGGGGAUUUUAUGUACAACUGCUUUAUUGUUAAUGCAUAUAUUGUACAAUUCAUACAUCUCUUACAUAGCUUUUGCAAGUCCUUUGAAAUAUAUUUACUUUUAAAUAGAAUCUGUAAAUUCUAUGAGAUAUCUUCAUUUUUGUGUAUGAUUAGUUUUAUUUUUCUGGGUAUGUUUUCAUGUUUAUUUGUUGCAAUGACCUUAAUAAAAACACUAUGUAACAGUAGAAUUCUUAAGGAAUGACGCAUUACACCAACAUUAUCCAAAAGAACUAAUUAAUCAAACAUGACUAAUUUUAAUGUAAUUACUAAAGAAAGAUAUACCAUUUUAUUAUGACACUCUAGCCAUACAUUUUCAAAAUAUGCUUAUUAAACAGUAAAUGUAAGAUAAUGAUUCAAUUAGUUACAUUUAUAGAAGUCAUUAGGAUUGAUAUUCCUCUGCCAUAAGUGAAUUGAAUAAUAAUUUCAAAUACAAUCAGAAUUAAUUUAAUAAAAAAUAUGCUUUUCAACUAAGACAGAUGUAACGAAUGGCCAGUCAUUAUUUUCUGGUUUCAAAGUAGCAGGGGAAAUUAAUUCAGUGUCUGUAAGUUUAUUUAUCACACUUGGCCUAUAAGAGUGAUAAAAAUACAUGAGGCAAAACACAUGAUGUAAUCCCAAUUCUCAUAGUUCAUUAACUCUUUUAUCAAAAAGAGAUCUGACAUGGUAUUUGGGGCCUUUAUGUAAACUGAAUAUAAGCUGCGUGAUAUUUGAAAGGUUUUGAUAUUUUGAAUAGACAUUUUCAUGAUACACAGACACAGAUAAAAGAUGUUAAGUAGACAGCUUGAGGUUUCAGAGUCCCUCCUGCAGUGUGUUUAGCAGCGGGUACAAGAUAAAUAUCUAAACAAAAUCAGAUUAAGGGAUUAACAGAAGUGACUUUGCUAUGAGUUGGUGAGUGGGGUCAAUGAGUGGCUUGAAAGGGAUUUUAGAGCUCUGUUUUUAUUUUUCCUACUUUACAUCAGUGCAUUUUGGGCAAAAUAAAAUGAGUAAUGUUUACUUUUAGGCUUCAGUAAUAUAAAAAAAAGGUAGAUUCUAAGGAUUGUGGAAGGUCAUGUUUUUGAAAGUGACAGGUAAUUCAGCUCAGGUUAUUAGGAGAAACUCUAUCUCCAUCUUAACUCAUAUUUCAGUUGAGCAGUAACAUUUGGUUUAGUGUCCUCUCUUUUUUUUUUUUUAUUUUAAAAAAGCUUGGAUUUUUUUCCCCUUGAAAGACCCUAUCAAAGAUAGUUGAAGAAUGAGGAGAGAAGGACCAUGUUUAAGAUCAAUGUAAUCAUACAUUAAGAGGGAACACAUGGGCAGGGCAUGGUGGCUCAUGCCUGUAAUCCCAGCACUUUAGGAGGAUGAGGCGGGCACAUCACAAGGUCAGGAGUUUGAGACCAACCUGGCCAACAUGGUGAAACCCUGUCUCUACUAAAAAUACAAAAAAUUAGCUGGGCAUAAUGGUGGGCACCUGUAAUCCCAGCUACUUGGGAGGCUGAGGCAGGAGAAUCGCUUAAACCCAGGAGGCGGAGGUUGCAGUGAGCCGAGAUCAUGCCACUGCACUCUCAGCCUGAGGGACAGUGCGAGACCCCAUCUCACCAAAAAAAAAAAAAAGGGAACACGUGAAAUAUAUGUUUUCAAUGAGGUUCCUUUAAUUCUAGAGUUUCGGCUUGGUCAGCCCUCUAUAAAAUUCUGGGGCAGAUACUAAAAUAAUAAGGACUGGGUUGGGAUGGGAGUAGAAUAAAGACAGCUUCAAAAAUCCCCUGGGCCUCUGUCUUAUCUGUGAGAGGUUUCUUUAAAAAACAAAAGCAUUUUUCCAGAUAGGAAUUGGUUAUUUAAAUUGAUAUCUUUAUCCUGUACCAUAUGCACUUAAAGCUUCUGACAGUCUUCUUUCUUUUUUAAAUAGAAAUUACACAAAAAAAGAUAUCUAUGUAUCACUUUCUAAUACCUAACAGGAAGGUCUUAUAAAAUAUUAAAAUAGCAAUAAGCAAAUAUGUACUACAGGAUUAAACACUGGCAUUGAAAACAAAACAAAAUCCAAAACCAAGAAUCAACAACAUUUUCCUUUUUUUGUUGCCCCCCUACCAGAUCUGGACUUUAUGGUCUUUGCAAGGGAGGGGCAUAAAGUUUCACAAUUCUUCCAUUUUAAAAUAAAUGAUGCCAUUGCAUAAAUCAGAUUUAUCUUUUGAAAAUAUUGGUGGAAAGCCCAUGUGAUUUGAAUGGAAAGAUUCUUUCUUAUGAGGAGAGCCAAACAGGUUCUGCUCUAAUAAAUUAGCACAAUCUUUUAAGAUUAAAAAUAGCAAAACAUUUUAAAUAGUCUGAUUAUAGCUUCAACAAGUCAAACAUACAUUUCUAU